UCCUUCAACACCUGGUGAUACAAUUCAAGAUGAGAUUUGGGUGGGGAUGCAAAGCCUAACCAUAUCAAAUGCCUCACUGAGCCCUGGCAGAGUCCCAUCCAGCUCAACGUGCUGGGCAGUUAGGUCCAUGAGAAGGCAUUUGGAACAGGCUGGAAGCUUCCCUGUGUGACAGUGGCCUUUUCUCUUCUGCAAAACAGGCAGCUGAGGCAGGGGAACCCUAAGGGCUCACUGAGAUCAUGGAUUUGCCCUUCUAUGCAUUGAUGGAGCACCUGCUGCUCAUAGUGUCUGUAUUUAGUGCUGGGACGCUGAGGUAUGACUAUGAAUACUCUCUGGCAAGGAGAGAGGCAUGGGACCCCCUAGAAAGGUGCCCAGUGUGUGGGUAAGCACUUUACAAACUUCUGGAGCAUACACAUCUGACGGAUGAUGUUCAUUCCGAAUUCAGGCAAACACUCCUUGUUCUGCUUUCCACUUUCACCUGAGCCCCUUUGAGUACUGACUUUUGUAGUUACAUCGUCUUCCUAUGUGUGCUCUUUCUCUCUCUCCAAGCCUCCCUUCUUUAUGAAUUUUUAAAAGGACACUGAGAUCUCCACACAGAGGCUGCCCCUCUGAGCCAACAGAUCCCGAGCCCUGGACUCUGAAGCUUGGGCCCAGUUCUCCUUUUCUCUGGGUUUCAGAUCCCAUUUUGAAGUGAGGGGUGGGUGCCAGGUGGUCCUCGUGGUAUCUGCCUGUCUGAUCCUGCCCUUGGAUGGACGUCAGCCCUCAAUCACAGAACCAGUUUCCAAAGAGCCAUCUGUGCCUGCAUAGCCCUCCUGAUUCAGGAUCCGGAGAAGCCAGGGGCAUGAGCAUCGGUGCCGCUUCUCUAUUUCGAGGACCCUUCUGGGUGUAAAGUUUUCUGAGAGGCCUUACAUGGAUUCCAACCACUGCAAGAUAACCAUCGUAUGUAAAGUGGUGUGACCAGCAGCGCGUAAUUAAAGUGCAUUCCAGAGGGAAAGACAGCGGCUCAGAGUCUCACUCUGUCACCCAGGAUGGAGUGUGACAGUGCCAUCACAGCUCACUGCAGCCUCGUGUUGUCAUAUUCUUGAUAGAGAUUACAUUAUUUAACCUCAGAACAGCCCUCGGCCCCAAUUACCUUGGACUUACCUGGGAUGAGAUCACACUGGGUGACCUUCUGAGCAGUGGGUUGGAGCCUCUUUCCAGUCAUUCAGAGCUGCCUCCACAGUUCAUCGGGGCAAGGAGGCUCCAGUCCUUGCUUUAUCAGAGAUACAUGUCAAGGCUUGGCCCCUCCUCUGCUCCAGACCUGGCAGAGGGAGGUCUCCUGGAGACACCCCCUCUGGGACUUGUUCCCCCGAGGCAGCAGCACAUCUGAUGCCCUCCAUGGUGUCCCUGGUUCUAGGGCGUUGCUAUCGGCUUCUGCAUUGGAUCUGCCAUCUCUGCGUUCUCUCUGCACAAUGAGGCGUCUUUGCAGGGUGCUGAUGAGGCUUCAGGCUUGACCAACUCUGACAGGCUGGCUGCUGAGACACUGCUACUCAAUGGCCCUUACUAAAUGGCCUCAUUUGAUCAUGACGUGAUCUCCAGAAGCUGGACUUGAUUAUCCUUGCCAAACGAAAUGCUGAAACCAAAAAUCUGAAAGCUUUGGACAUUCAGUUCUGCCUGUGCCGUUUCAUGCAAUGAAAUCAUAGGUCUUUGUCUGGCAUUGGCUCACUCAGCACAACAUGGGAAGAAAGGGGAAGAAAGGGUGCUCCCCUCUCUGCCUGCUCACCCCCCUGAAAACCCUCACUUUUCUCCACUGUGGACGGCUGCGUUUUCCACCCUAGGAAGCGGACACCUUUUGCGACCUCAGAGCCCCUCAGGGCCUGUGAGUGGUCACCCGGCAUAGCCCCCACCUCUCUCUGGCUGCUAUGGUGCCUACAGGGCUUGGCUCAGGGAAGGUUGCCGGCAGGCCUGGGCCGCUUUGUCAUUUGUUGGAAACCAGAAGCUUCUGCGUUCCUUUCACCGCUGGAGCUGGAUUUUCCCAGCUGCAUGCACAGCUCCCGGCCUGGGCUGUGUCUUCUUGGGGAGGUGGAAUUUGCUACCUCCAGGGUGGAGCCGUAGUCGGUAUUCCUGGAACAAUCGUAGAAGUAAGCAGGCCAGAGGUGGUGUUUCAAAUCCUGCUGGUGUCCAGAGGCCUGGACUCUGUCCCUGUCCUAUAAGGAUUUCCGUGACUGCUGCCGUGGGACUAGGCAUCACAUUCUCAUUGAGGGGACAUGCUUUCCUUGGUUCUAAUCCUGAGUCUAAGAAUGGGAGGUUUGCUUAGGCAAUGUCAUCGUCCUGACCAGCAGCAAUUGUCCCUUAGGCAAUGACACCAUCCUAGUCACAACAAUUGUCCCUUAGGCAGUGCCAUCGUCCUGACCAGUGACAAUUGUCCCUCAGGCAGUGCCAUCGUCCUGACCAGCGACAGUUGCCCCUCAGGCAGUGCCAUCGUCCUGACCAGCGACAGUUGCCCCUCAGGCAGUGCCAUCGUCCUGACCAGCAACAACUGUCCCUUUAAGUGGUCCCCUGAUUGGCUUUUGUUCCUCCUGAGGCCUGGAUGCUGAAGUGUCGAAAGACCACAGAACUUGGCAGACGAAAACCCUAAUGAUCAUGUGCUCAGAUGUCCACCAACAUCAAUCCUGUGGAAAAUCUGGAGUAAUUAGGAAAUGAUUCUGAACUAGAGAAAAUGUUCCCAUAAAAUGUCAGGUACUUUAUAUCCUGGAGGAGUGAAUAUUUUACCAACUCGAUCUUAUGUGUAAAAUGCAGUAUUCUGAGUUACCAAGUUUCACUACUGAAAUUCUUUUAAGUUGGAUGGCGGCAUGGAAGUUUCUGGAAGCUGAAUUCUGAAUAGUUUUAAUCCUUCUUUGAGCCUUGGUUUCCUCGUCUGUAAAGGGCAUAAUAGCUUUGUAAACUGAACUAACAGGAUGGAAUGAAAGGACAGCAGAUUUUCUUAUAGCGUUGCCUCCCAAAGAAGCUUAAUUUUAAUUUAAUUUCAGGAAGAAACAAAAAUGUGCAAGGAUGUUAAAAAAAUAUUUUCGCUAGUUAUCA